AUUGAACGCUGGCGGCAGGCCUAACACAUGCAAGUCGAACGGUAACAGGAAGCAGCUUGCUGCUUUGCUGACGAGUGGCGGACGGGUGAGUAAUGUCUGGGAAACUGCCCGAUGGAGGGGGAUAACUACUGGAAACGGUAGCUAAUACCGCAUAACGUCGCAAGACCAAAGAGGGGGACCUUAGGGCCUCUUGCCAUCGGAUGUGCCCAGAUGGGAUUAGCUAGUAGGUGGGGUAACGGCGCACCUAGGCGACGAUCCCUAGCUGGUCUGAGAGGAUGACCAGCCACACUGGAACUGAGACACGGUCCAGACUCCUACGGGAGGCAGCAGUGGGGAAUAUUGGACAAUGGGCGCAAGCCUGAUGCAGCCAUGCCGCGUGUAUGAAGAAGGCCUUCGGGUUGUAAAGUACUUUCAGCGGGGAGGAAGGGAGUAAAGUUAAUACCUUGGCUCAUUGACGUUACCCGCAGAAGAAGCACCGGCUAACUCCGUG
rnacentral:rRNA from 1 species